UUAUGGUCAAAUCUCAGUGAAAACACCGGUUCUCAUUUGAUCACCAUUAAGUUAAGCAAUGUCGAAUUCGGUCAAUACCUAAAUGGGGAACCGCUUGGGAACACCGGGUGUUGUAA